GAUGAACGCUGGCGGCGUGCCUAAUACAUGCAAGUCGAGCGAACAGACGAGGAGCUUGCUCCUCUGACGUUAGCGGCGGACGGGUGAGUAACACGUGGAUAACCUACCUAUAAGACUGGGAUAACUUCGGGAAACCGGAGCUAAUACCGGAUAAUAUAUUGAACCGCAUGGUUCAAUAGUGAAAGACGGUUUUGCUGUCACUUAUAGAUGGAUCCGCGCCGCAUUAGCUAGUUGGUAAGGUAACGGCUUACCAAGGCAACGAUGCGUAGCCGACCUGAGAGGGUGAUAGGCAACACUGGAAAUGAGACACGGUCCAGACUCCUACGGGAGGCAGCAGUAGGGAAUCUUCCGCAAUGGGCGAAAGCCUGACGGAGCAACGCCGCGUGAGUGAUGAAGGUCUUCGGAUCGUAAAACUCUGUUAUUAGGGAAGAACAAAUGUGUAAGUAACUAUGCACGUCUUGACGGUACCUAAUCAGAAAGCCACGGCUAACUACGUG
rnacentral:rRNA from 1 species